UUUCAGUGCUGGCUCUAUUGAAAAGAUCCAAACAAGAGCCGUACUUUUCUCAUCAAUUACACAGAUCUGCCUCAACGUGAAUUACGGCAAGAAUUUGGUGACAGUGGAGAGAAAAAAAACCUCCAGCAGAACAAGAUUGAUGAGGGGAGCCAUCUGCCUCUCCUGGUGAAAAGGACAGAGAAACGAGCAUGUUAAUAUGCAACAUUUGAGGACAAGAGGUGUUGGAAAGUUCGCCGCAGAUCAUGUUUUUAUGCAAAGCCCUCUGGAGGAUCAUACCAGAUGAAAAUCCUGAGUGUACAGGACCGCUUUCUCUGAAAGGAUCUGAGUGCCAAAUGAGUCCAAGCCAUGUGUGUUCAUGUGCUGAGUGACAUCUGUGGCUGCCUUCCUGCCUGCAGCAAAUACUUCAGCUGGAAGUUCAGACCUGCAACGGAGGGACAACCUCUGUACUGUCUGAGCCGCUCACAUCCAGGACCCUCCAGCCUUAUGAAAUCCGUCUGUUUGCCAGCUCAGUUCUGCUUUAUUAACUCCAAAUGUCUCCCCUAAAAUUUGUCAUCUGUGUUAGGAGCGACUGUGACGCACAGUCCACCCAGACCUCUGCUCAGAUGCGCGGCAUAAAUCACAGUGGAACCAAAUUAGAAUCUAAAAUAAGGAACAGAGGGGGAUAUUUUGGUGAGCCUUUAAUAACUCAGCUGCUUGUUCUAGGUGGAACAGUUGAGCUGGCAUCCUGCUAAACCCAACAGAGCCCCAGAUAAUGGUGUGGAUAAAAUCUGACAUGUAUUAAAAGGAACAAUGAAAAAUGGCUCCCCUGAUCACUUGUUCCACUGUGAUAUAUUAAAAUUUUAUCGCAAUAUUAAACGCAGAGAGCAGCAAAAAGUUGAAGAAUAUUUUCGGUUUCAUAAAGCAGCUUCUGCUCUCUUCUCAAUAAAAUUAAGAUGCUUUCAGGAAUCUUGAUUAACAUUAUGCAUUUUCUACAACAUCUUAAUGCAAUAAAGGCUUUCACUGAAGAUACAAUUUGGUCUAAUCUGUGGUUUAAGCAGACUUUGCAUCUACCAAAGGCCUUCUUCAAUCUUGUGGACCCCGAGAAAACUUAAAUUCUCCCAGGAAAGCUUUAUAAAUGCACCAUUACUAUUAUGGGAAGAGUUAGAACCUAAAACCAAUAAAACAAUUUCCACUAUAACAAUUUACAAAUGGAUGGAUGAAAAAGAUCAAAUUUUGUUAUUAGUGCACAUAAAUGCAUCAACCAGUAUCAAAUCCCUGAGCCUUAAUUCAUGUUUGUCAUGUUCCAUUUUUUAUUUUGAAA